rnacentral:rRNA from 1 species
GACGAACGCUGGCGGCGUGCUUAACACAUGCAAGUCGAACGGAAAGGCCCUGCUUUUGUGGGGUGCUCGAGUGGCGAACGGGUGAGUAACACGUGAGUAACCUGCCCUUGACUUUGGGAUAACUUCAGGAAACUGGGGCUAAUACCGGAUAGGAGCUCCUGCUGCAUGGUGGGGGUUGGAAAGUUUCGGCGGUUGGGGAUGGACUCGCGGCUUAUCAGCUUGUUGGUGGGGUAGUGGCUUACCAAGGCUUUGACGGGUAGCCGGCCUGAGAGGGUGACCGGCCACAAUGGGACUGAGAUACGGCCCAGACUCCUACGGGAGGCAGCAGUGGGGAAUAUUGCACAAUGGGCGGAAGCCUGAUGCAGCAACUCCGCGUGCGGGAUGACGGCCUUCGGGUUGUAAACCGCUUUCGCCUGUGACGAAGCGUGAGUGACGGUAAUGGGUAAAGAAGCACCGGCUAACUACGUG